UUUUAAUAUAUCUAGUUUUUUAAGAAAUAAAUUUAAUUUAGAUAAUUUAUUUUAAUGAUUUAAUUUAAUAAAUUAUUAUAGUAAAUUAUUAAUAUUUUAAGGGAUGAGCUUUAAAAUAAAAUUUUAUAAAUAACUUUUAUUAAGUAAUAAUUGUAAGCUUAGAAUUAGCUAUCAAUAGAAAAUAUGUUUUAAUUUAUUUUUUGUUUAAUAUUAUUUAUUAUUUGUUUUAAAUUUUUUAUUAAUAUAUAAAUUUUAAUUUUGUAAAUUUAUUAAUAAUGAUAAAAUUAGUAAAUAUAACUAAUUAUAUAAAUAAAUCUAAUUUGAUUGGUUUUUAUAAUUAAUUCGGCAAAUUUUGUGCUCACCUGUUUAUCAAAAACAUGUCUUUUUGGUUAUUUAAUAUAAAGUCUGACCUGCCCACUGAAUUAAAUUUGAAGGGCCGCAGUAUUUUGACUGUGCAAAGGUAGCAUAAUCAUUAGUCUUUUAAUUGAAGGCUGGUAUGAAUGGUUGGAUGAGGUACAAGCUGUGUCAUAAAAAUUAGUUUUUGAAUUUACCUUUUUAGUCAAAAGGCUAAAAUAAAGUUAAAAGACGAGAAGACCCUAUAGAGCUUUAUAUAAUUUGUAUUUAAGUUAUUUAGAUUUUUUAAAUUUAAUUAUUUUAUUAUAUUUUGUUGGGGUGACAAUAAAAUUUAUAAAACUUUUAUUUUUAUUUACCAUUUAUUUAUGUUUAUAUGAUCCAGUUUUAUUGAUUAUAAAUUUAAGUUACCUUAGGGAUAACAGCGUAAUUUUUUUUGAGAGUUCUUAUCGACAAAAAAGAUUGCGACCUCGAUGUUGGAUUAAGAGUAAUUUUGGGUGUAGAAGUUCAAAGUUUAAGUCUGUUCGACUUUUAAAUUUUUACAU
rnacentral:rRNA from 1 species